UACGUAGGGGGCGAGCGUUGUCCGGAUUCAUUGGGCGUAAAGAGCUCGUAGGCGGUUCAGUAAGUCGGGUGUGAAAUCUCCGUGCUCAACACGGAGCGGCCACCUGAUACUGCUGUGACUCGAGUCCGGUAGGGGAGUGUGGAAUUCCCGGUGUAGCGGUGAAAUGCGCAGAUAUCGGGAGGAACACCAGUGGCGAAGGCGGGUCUCUGGACAGUUCCUGACACUGAGGCACGAAGGCCAGGGGAGCAAACGGG
rnacentral:rRNA from 1 species